UGGGGAAUAUUGCACAAUGGGCGCAAGCCUGAUGCAGCCAUGCCGCGUGUAUGAAGAAGGCCUUCGGGUUGUAAAGUACUUUCAGCGAGGAGGAAGGCGGUAAGGUUAAUAACCUUAUCGAUUGACGUUACUCGCAGAAGAAGCACCGGCUAACUCCGUGCCAGCAGCCGCGGUAAUACGGAGGGUGCAAGCGUUAAUCGGAAUUACUGGGCGUAAAGCGCACGCAGGCGGUCUGUCAAGUCGGAUGUGAAAUCCCCGGGCUCAACCUGGGAACUGCAUCCGAAACUGGCAGGCUUGAGUCUUGUAGAGGGGGGUAGAAUUCCAGGUGUAGCGGUGAAAUGCGUAGAGAUCUGGAGGAAUACCGGUGGCGAAGGCGGCCCCCUGGACAAAGACUGACGCUCAGGUGCGAAAGCGUGGGGAGCAAACA
rnacentral:rRNA from 1 species